rnacentral:lncRNA from 1 species
ACAAAACUGAAAUGCCCUAUUAUGGCAUCAAAGAAACAAAAGAGGAGAUGAUACAGGGUAAUAUAAACUGCAUACCAAUAUCAUGAGCCCUCACACCAGGUUUCUGUUUAGGAUGGAUAAUUUGCUUCAAUGAAACAAAUUAAUGGAGAAUUAUAAACAAUAGCUUUACAAUGAACUUUUAGCCAUUAGUAAUUUAGAGUUUGGGACAAUAUUUAUGUGCCCUUCUUGGAGACAUUAUACAAUACUGGCCCAGAUCAUGGACUCUGGAAUCAGAUGGGCCUGGGUGUGAAUCCUUUAUUCUGUGGUUUGACCUCUGUAAGCCUCAGUUUCCCAUUCUGAAAAAGGCAGAGAUUAGCACCUACUUCAUAGGGCUAUUUUGACAAUAGGCAAACUGUAUUUGGCAAUAAUUGACAAGUACUUACCACAGUUUAUGACACAUUGUGAAAACUAAAAAAAAAAAAAAAAAAAAAAAAUCGUAAGUUCUAUCGUUGUGAUUCAGUACUUUUGUCCAGAAUGAAGUGAUACAGCCAGUCAGCACCUUCCAAUAUGAGCCAGCCAUUCAGAAGCCAGGAUCAAUUUCCCCUAAACCCACACAAGUGGAUAAGGGUGCCCCAAAGGAUGCUGGGAAAUCCCCCAAACACUCCUGGAAUAAAAGUGUUUUCAAUUCAUAAUACGAAACAGCCAUAUUAUGUAACAUUGUGCUUGGAAGGAAGAAAAUAAUUGAAGGGAAUUUCAAAAACAAACAUCUAGAUCACAUCCCAAUUUCCAAAUAUUAGGAACCACUCCUACACAGACAGGAACAAGUUGAUGUCCCAGUAUUUAAGAGAGCCUAUGUUAAGCAAAGAAAAGGGGCAGAUUUCUAAUGUUGAAUGACAAGGCUAGUUUGAAGAGCAUAGCAAAAUGUAUGUUAAGAAAUAGAGAGGC